rnacentral:rRNA from 1 species
AGGCCUCAAACAUGCAAGUCUAGGGGACGUAGCAAUACGUCACCGGCGGACGGGUGCGUAACACGUGGGAACGUACCCUUUGGUUCGGAACAACGCAGGGAAACUUGCGCUAAUACCGGAUAACCCGGAAACGGAAAAGAUUUAUCGCCAAAGGAUCGGCCCGCGUUCGAUUAGCUUGUUGGUGAGGUAAAAGCUCACCAAGGCGACGAUCGAUAGCUGGUCUGAGAGGACGAUCAGCCACACUGGGACUGAGACACGGCCCAG